rfam:Schistosoma mansoni, Puerto Rico, WGS project CABG01000000 data, contig: 0182
AUCCAGAUGACGAGUCCCAAAUAAAACGAAACCCACAUCCUGGAU